rnacentral:lncRNA from 1 species
AUGCAUAAUUUCGACAGCUUGUGCUUUAUCAAAGAAAUUACGUCAAUCGUUAAAGCUGCUGCUUUCCUUAUUUACUUGCAAGUUUUCAAUAUCAAAUUCCAAGAGGGACAGAAAAGCAAUGUGAAAGAAAACUUUCAAGGGAAUGUAAAACAAAAGGGAGAAGGAGUUCUAGUGGAAGCGUGGAGAACAACUGGUGUCUCUGUACUCACUGAAUCAAUGUGCAGCUGAACCUCCAAGAGUCUGACAGGAAAAUCCAACUACACCUGUUGGAGCUGCCUAUGUUAGACUGCUCAGAGAUGUUACCUGGAAUCUGGAUCAAAGUCAUUUUUUCAUCAGGUUAAUGAUGACUUUGACAUCAGUCACCAGAUGAUAUGUAUUAUUAAUAAAAAUAUAUAUUUUCUUGUAUCACAUGUUAAGAAUCUAACUUUCCUGGAUUUUUGAUGCGGGAAAAAAUACUUAGGGAUAAAGAGACUGACUUAAACCAAGUAUCUAAGGCCAAGCUAUUUCUUGAUGUAGGGCACUCUGUACAGAAGUGUUUGUUUCAGUUUGCCUAUAUUGUGGUUUAAAUACAUUUUGAACUUUGGUUAGAGUACAUCAAUUUUCAGAUUAUUCGUAUUGAAAAGAUGUUGGUCUUGAAUUUCGUAUUUUAAUGGUGAAAAAAAAAUAGUAGCUAAGAACAUAGCGAUAAUUUUCAUCUAUACCACCCUUUUAUUCAAAUCAGAAGGAUUCUGCAGUUAAGAAGUGUAACAUGAUUAUUCAUGUUCAGUGGAACACAUGCUGUGAUCAAAACACAACUUGGAAAUGCACACAGGAUUGGACUGCAGGGUGUGUGACUGUAACAGAGGUGGUCUAGGCUGGAAAACAUUGCUCAGGUCAAGUGAGUGUUCACUGACUUUCAUUUAUUAAACAUAACUGCCUACUGUACAUUUUGAUCUUCCUUGUAAAGGCAGCUGAGUGAGUUAUCUUUAGCAAAUACGUCCUGCAAAACUCCCCACUGACAGUAUGCUCAGUGUAUGUAAAGCCUGUAUAUUUUGAUAGCUGCCGACUUUGAAUCAAAAGCUUCUCUUGGCUAGUGGAUGAAACAAGUUCUUCAUAGAAAAUGGGCUGUGUCCCACUCCACAGCCAGGGGCAGGCCCUCCCUUUGCCCUGAUACAGGCAUAGCUCCUACCAAUGUAUCCAGGAAUAAAGAUUUCCUUCUGCUACCCAGACGGAUAGCUGUGCUAAUCUUAAACAUCUUGAAGGGAGAACACAAAUCCGAUCUCUCAAAACGUUAUACAGUACACCCUACUUCAUGUUUCUAGCUCAAGUUUAAUGUAAUUGUUUCAGGAGAUCAAAUUCAACAGCAACAAAAAUCCACCAAAAUACAGAUCUAUUCUGUGAGGAAAGGAUAAUUAAUUAAUUGAUUUCCAUAUGACAUAAGAUUCAAAUCACAGUCACAGUCUCUUGCAUGUUGUUUGCUUUUUUGUUAUUCAGACUACUUUAUGGAGUGGCAGAGUGUUAUUGCUGCUUAAUCCAGAAUGUUAAUCAUGG